CUCCAUUUUCUUAGGUAAAAACUCCAUUUUUCUUCCAUGAAAACUAAUAAAAAUGUUCUAAACUUGUAGGUGCAUAUUGGGUAACCAAGAAUUUCAGGAAAAACAAAGGAAAAAUUGAAGAACAAGAGGAGGAAGAACUCAUUAAGGAGUAAAGAUUCGAGCUUUUGAAGCCAUUUUGGGAAGAAAUUAUGCUAGAAAUUAAGUGGUGGAGUUGCAGGGCUAGGUAAAGGAAGUUGUUUGAAAUUACGUGAUGCGCUUGCCACCGUGUUGUGAACUUAAAUGUUUUGUCAUUUUGUUACGUUUAUAAUACUUGAAAUGUAAAUAUUAUAAUAGGUUCCAUGGCAUGUAUUUUUGGUAGAUCCAUAUGUAAAUUUCCUUAAAAAUAUGGAUUGUAAUAUUAUGUUAAUAUUUUAA